AGGAUGAACGCUGGCGGCGUGCCUAAUACAUGCAAGUCGAGCGGCAGCGCGGUCUUCGGACUGGCGGCGAGCGGCGGACGGCUGAGUAACACGUAGGAACGUACCCCAAAGUGAGGCAUAAGCACCAGAAAUGGUGUCUAAUACCACAUGUGCUCUAAGGAGUAAAGCUUCGGUGCUUUGGGAACGGCCUGCGCAUGAUUAGCUUGUUGGUGAGGUAAUGGCUCACCAAGGCGACGAUCAUUAGCUGGUCUGAGAGGAUGAUCAGCCAGACUGGGACUGAGAACGGCCCAGACUCCUACGGGAGGCAGCAGUAGGGAAUUUUCCACAAUGGGCGAAAGCCUGAUGGAGCAACGCCGCGUGCAGGAUGAAGGCCUUCGGGUCGUAAACUGCUUUUAUAUGUGAAGAAUAUGACGGUAGCAUAUGAAUAAGGAUCGGCUAACUCCGUGCCAGCAGCCGCGGU
rnacentral:rRNA from 1 species